rnacentral:rRNA from 1 species
UACGGAGGGUGCGAGCGUUGUCCGGAAUCAUUGGGCGUAAAGCGCGUGUAGGCGGUCCGGUAAGUCCGCUGUGAAAGUCGGGGGCUCAACCCUCGGAUGGCGGUGGAUACUGUCGGGCUAGAGUGCGGAAGAGGCGAGUGGAAUUCCUGGUGUAGCGGUGAAAUGCGCAGAUAUCAGGAGGAACACCAAUUGCGAAGGCAGCUCGCUGGGACGUAACUGACGCUGAGACGCGAAAGCGUGGGGAGCAAACAGG